GAUGCGGGUCACGGGGUGGAGCGCCGCGUACUCCAGGGGCGCGGACGGAUCGAUGGACACGUCGAGCGGCGCGGGUUCGGCUCCCGCCCGCACCA
rnacentral:tRNA from 1 species